UAGAAAUGGUAUAUAUAGAUUUAACCCUAAUCAGGUAUCGUUAAAUAUCGUUAAAUCGUCGAGAACGUUCUGUCAGACGAUCAAACGAUAACUAUUCAACCAGUCGGUAAAUCACAUCGAAAACCCAAGUUCUGGUCGCAGUGAGAAGCUCUGGAUGCCUUGAGGAGGGUUCACCAGCUCUGCUUCAACAACGUUGACAUGGGACCAGUAAAGCUGCAAGACUUUGUCGGCCAGUCAAAAGUGGACGCUGCAAUCCAAGGUGAAACUUUCUUUCUCAUGGUGGGGAACACGCAUGAAGAUGUGGAUCAACCGUUUAGUGUAUUUGCAAGGGAACUUAGACAGAAGCCUGCAACAACCCGCGAUGCCCUCCUUCAAGAUUGGGGACAUCCGCACACCCACCA